CAGCUCACCAGCUGUAGUUGGAGAACCAGAACCAGCACUUCAUGUUCUGCUACCUUGUGCAAAAGCUUCCUGGCCCCUUCCUUCGGGGCAAGUUCCAAAAAUUGUGGCCAAUCUCUCCCAUCUUCUACUUCUUUCCCCAUCUUAAGUGUCUAUAAGGAACUAUGCCAACCCUUCAUCCAGUAGCAACUUUUCCAGUGCCAGCUACCUUCUCCCCAACUCCUGUGUUUUACCAGAUGAGAAAGCAGGCCAGGGCAGCUGGGAGCCACUGGGGCUGGAUUGGGAGCAACAUUUGGUUGCUGUUGUCCAAUUGCAGUGCACUGGAACUCCUCCAAGGACACAACAGAGAAGCUGCUGCCAGGUCUCCCCAAAGGCUGCAUAGACUUCAUCCCCACCAUACAAUGCCAGUCCUGUUGAUAAAUACAAUGCCAGUCCUGUUGAUAAAUGCCCCUAUAUUGGUUGUAGCACAGAGGUGCAAACUACAUUGAACACACCUGGGAGAAAGUGCUGGGGAGGGGGAAGCAAAAUAUACAGAAAAGAGAGUGGAUUAGGCACCAGAAGGUCUGGAUUUGAAUCCCAGUUUGUGAGUUGGUGUGUGCCACAGCCUUGGGCAAAUCUCUUCCGUCUUCAGUUUCCCAUCUGAGACAUGGAGAACAGCUGAUCAAC
rnacentral:lncRNA from 1 species